AUUUAUAUAGUUUAUAAAAAACAUUUCAUUUUCAUUGAAAAGAUAAGUUAUACUUUAUAAAUG
rnacentral:tRNA from 1 species